rfam:Salmo salar isolate Sally breed double haploid chromosome ssa01, whole genome shotgun sequence.
GUAAUAAGUAGUUGUAAGUCGCUCUGGAUAAGAGCAUCUGCGAAAUGACUUAAA